CGGUGGAGUAACCUUUUAGGCGCUAGCCGUCGAAGGUGGGACAAAUGAUUGGGGUGAAGUCGUAACAAGGUAGCCGUAUCGGAAGGUGCGGCUGGAUCACCUCCUUUCU
rnacentral:rRNA from 1 species